AACGCGAAGAACCUUACCUGGGCUCGAAAUGUACAGGAAUCCGGUGGAAACAUCGGCGCCCAGCAAUGGGCCUGUAUAUAGGUGCUGCAUGGCUGUCGUCAGCUCGUGUCGUGAGAUGUUGGGUUAAGUCCCGCAACGAGCGCAACCCUUACCUCCAGUUGCCACCAUUUAGUUGGGCACUCUGGCGGAACCGCCUCGGAUAACGGGGAGGAAGGUGGGGAUGACGUCAAGUCCUCAUGGCCUUUAUGUCCAGGGCUACACACGUGCUACAAUGGCCGGUACAAACCGUUGCAAACCCGCGAGGGGGAGCUAAUCGGAAAAAGCCGGCCUCAGUUCGGAUCGCAGUCUGCAACUCGACUGCGUGAAGCUGGAAUCGCUAGUAAUCGCGGAUCAGAAUGCCGCGGUGAAUACGUUCCCGGGCCUUGUACACACCGCUAGUC
rnacentral:rRNA from 1 species